rfam:Rubrivivax gelatinosus IL144 DNA, complete genome.
UGGUCGGCAGAUCACCCAGGCGUCGCCGCGCGGCCUCUACCGCGAGCUAAACCUGCCU